GGUUCCCACAGCCUGGCCGUUCGUUUUUAUCAAUCCCCACAGGAUGCACUCCUACUCUCUCUUCCAGGGUCCCCUGCUUCCUGUCCGCGUUCCCACAGCUGCUGAGGGCCACAGCUCCCGCCUGUGCACAGAGGGUCCUUGCUGUGUGUACGAGAUGGUGGCUCCCUGCGCCAUGUGGCAGAUGUUCAGCAUCAGGAAUCAAAACAGCUUUCACACCACGCAGCACAUUCUUCUUCCAGUCCCGUUCAUUUCCUCUCGGUGGGAUGUGGAACAAUUUCUCUCAUCUGUUGCUCACUCAGUGAAACUGAGAAGUGGACAGAGGAGGCCAGAGACCGCAUGGAGCUUCCUGAGUCUUGACAUUCCAAGAAUACCCUCAACUGGUCCUCUCCUUUUUUCGAAAAACGUGACAAGCCUGUAAGACUAAGGGAAAGAGUAAAGCAGUUUCUGUUCAUUGUACGCUGGACAAAUUCCGAGUGGAUUCUGCAAUACUGAAUUAGCAUAGAGGACUUUCUGGAGGGAGAGAAGUGGACACUGUUCUUGACAGCUAUACUCAAUAUAUACUCACUACUUGGAAAAAACCAGGAAAGCAAAUGCACACUGGCAGCUUCUCACUAUGGACCAAUCAAAUGUUUCCCAUUUGAGUCUCGCAGUACUGUGAAAAGUUCCCUUUGGAUGUCUUCCUGCCAGAGGAUGGUUUGACUCCCUCCGCCAGUGCAGGCAAGAGGAGAGGAAGGAGCUACAGACAUUCAGUGGAAGAAGACUUAAGUCCCACGGUGAGCCAGUGACUUAUCAGUUCAUACUCGCUGGAGUCAGAGGUCAGAAGAACAUAAGCCAACAACCCCUGGUUAUUCUCUGAAAUCUCCAUGAUGGCACUGGCUCUGCACAGGGCAGAGUUAGGAUACAAACCAGUGUGGUGUAGAUGUAUGGGUAGUGACUCUGGUUUACCUCCAGAUACAUUCUUGGGCACCCUAGUUGUCUUUUAUCAGAAAAGCCACAACUGACUCUAAGGCCAGCAUAAGAACAAAAGACAGAAGAAAACAUGGAGUCAGAAACUUGAAGUUACUGCGGGGAGGAAUAUCAGACAUUGAGGUUUCACUAACUGCCAAGCCAUGGGAUGUAACAUCGAAGAAAAUCUAAAAGUGUGUCAUGCCAGCUUGCCCUUCAACUGGAGCUCUGUGAGGCUGGAGCCACAACUGUAUUUCCGGGUAUAUCCCCACUCCUUGUGCUGGUGUGUGGGCACCUUCCCACCCAUCCCAGAAAGGAAGGCGAGGGGACUGAUGCAAUUCGUGGACUGAUCUUCCUAACAACACAAGUCAGCUUCAUGUUGAGCAUUCCUGGAGAACAAAAGUGUUUUUGCUGCCAAGAUGUCAGGUUCUUUUUAGAGAGCUAAAAAUUAUACACAUCAGAAUUUCUAAAAUAAACGCUGAAUCUGAACCUUCCAGGCAGUGUUCUUGUUUUUCUCCCUGAGCUAUCAAAGAACAAAUUUGUUCCUUCCUUUAUUAAUAAGUUUGUUGGAAAUCUGUUGUGCCAGCCCAUGACUAUUUUCCAGGAAAGCAGAUUAAUGCUAGAUUAUGAAAAUAAAUGAUAACAUAUUUACUGUGAGAACUAAUGAUAUCCUGAGUGCUAAGACAGUACACACUGCUUCUUCCAAGACUGGCAGGUAUGUUUCUGAAGUUGACUUCACUUCAGCGGAAGACACUCUGAGCUUACGUGACUGUGGGCUGCCCAACAUUGCAAAGAUACCAGCCUUGGCAGCAGCGUAUUUAGUACAACUCCAGUUGUGGAAACACUACUGUCACAUUAAAGAAAGGAUUCUUCCUGCCGUGUUGACAAGGAGUAGUGGAAUGGCAAGGCACCAGAAACUGUGGAGACCCAUACUCUUGUCUCAUUUCUGUCUUGCCUGCCUGUAGCCAGGUGGUGCUUUGAAGCCAUCCCAGCUUGUUUAUGAAUAACUCUAUGCUACUGGCCUUUGCUUAAAGUCUGCCUUAAGGACUUUUUCU
ensembl:lncRNA